AUUGAACGCUGGCGGCAGGCCUAACACAUGCAAGUCGAGCGGAUGAAGGGAGCUUGCUCCUGGAUUCAGCGGCGGACGGGUGAGUAAUGCCUAGGAAUCUGCCUGGUAGUGGGGGAUAACGUCCGGAAACGGGCGCUAAUACCGCAUACGUCCUGAGGGAGAAAGUGGGGGAUCUUCGGACCUCACGCUAUCAGAUGAGCCUAGGCCGGAUUAGCUAGUUGGUGGGGUAAAGGCUUACCAAGGCGACGAUCCGUAACUGGUCUGAGAGGAUGAUCAGUCACACUGGAACUGAGACACGGUCCAGAGUCCUACGGGAGGCAGCAGUGGGGAAUAGUGGACAAUGGGCGAAAGCCUGAUCCAGCCAUGCCGCGUGUGUGAAGAAGGUCUUCGGGUUGUAAAGCACUUUCAGUUGGGAGGAAGGGCAGUAAGUUAAUACCUUGCUGUUUUGACGUUACCAACAGAAUAAGCACCGGCUAACUUCGUG
rnacentral:rRNA from 1 species